rnacentral:tRNA from 1 species
GGCUGUGUAAUGUAGUGGUUAGGGAGCUGGGCCUGCAACUCAGAGGUUGUAGGUUCAAGUCCCUGGUCA